rnacentral:rRNA from 1 species
GACGAACGCUGGCGGCAUGCCUAACACAUGCAAGUCGAACGAGACCUUCGGGUCUAGUGGCGCACGGGUGCGUAACGCGUGGGAACCUGCCCGUAGGUUCGGAAUAACUCCCCGAAAGGGGUGCUAAUACCGGAUAAGGUCUUCGGACCAAAGAUUUAUCGCCGUUGGAUGGGCCCGCGUUGGAUUAGCUAGUUGGUAGGGUAAAAGCAUACCAAGGCGACGAUCCAUAGCUGGUCUGAGAGGAUGAUUAGCCACACUGGGACUGAGACCCGGCCCAGACUCCUACGGGAGGCAGCAGUGGGGAAUAUUGGACAAUGGGCGAAAGCCUGAUCCAGCAAUGCCGCGUGAGUGAUGAAGGCCUUAGGGUUGUAAAGCUCUUUUACCCGGGAUGAUAAUGACAGUACCGGGAGAAUAAGCUCCGGCUAACUCCGUG